GUUACAGCCGCCGCGGUAAUACGGAGGGCGCAAGCGUUGUUCGGAAUUACUGGGCGUAAAGCGCGUGCAGGCGGUCUGGUAAGUCGGUUGUGAAAUCCCCGGGCUCAACCCGGGAACUGCAUCCGAAACUUCCAGGCUAGAGUUUCGGAGAGGAAGGCAGAAUUCCCAAUGUAGGGGUGAAAUCCGUAGAUAUUGGGAGGAAUACCAGUGGCGAAGGCGGCCUUCUGGACGAUGACUGACGCUGAGACGCGAAAGCGUGGGGAGCAAACAGGAUUAGAAACCCGAGUAGUCC
rnacentral:rRNA from 1 species